UGGGGAAUCUUGGACAAUGGGGGCAACCCUGAUCCAGCCAUGCCGCGUGAGUGAUGAAGGCCUUAGGGUCGUAAAGCUCUUUCGCCUGUGAAGAUAAUGACGGUAGCAGGUAAAGAAACCCCGGCUAACUCCGUGCCAGCAGCCGCGGUAAUACGGAGGGGGUUAGCGUUGUUCGGAAUUACUGGGCGUAAAGCGCACGUAGGCGGACCAGAAAGUUGGGGGUGAAAUCCCGGGGGCUCAACCCCGGAACUGCCUCCAAAACUAUUGGUCUAGAGUUCGAGAGAGGUGAGUGGAAUUCCAAGUGUAGAGGUGAAAUGCGUAGAUAUUAGGAGGAACACCAGUGGCGAAGGCGCCUACCUGGACCGAUACUGACGCUGAGGUGCGAAAGCGUGGGGAAGCAAAC
rnacentral:rRNA from 1 species